GAUGAACGCUGGCGGCGUGCCUAAUACAUGCAAGUCGAGCGAACAGACGAGGAGCUUGCUCCUCUGCCGUUAGCGGCGGACGGGUGAGUAACACGUGGCUAACCUACCUAUAAGACUGGGAUAACUUCGAGAAACCGGAGCUAAUACCGGAUAAUAUAUUGAACCUCAUGGUUCAAUAGUGAAAGACGGUUUUGCUGUCACUUAUAGAUGGAUCCGCGCCGCAUUAGCUAGUUGGUAAGGUAACGGCUUACCAAGGCAACGAUGCGUAGCCGUACUGAGAGGGUGAUCGGCCACACUGGAACUGAGACACGGUCCAGACUCCUACGGGAGGCAGCAGUAGGGAAUCUUCCGCAAUGGGCGAAAGCCUGACGGAGCAACGCCGCGUGAGUGAUGAAGGUCUUCGGAUCGUAAAACUCUGUUAUUAGGGAAGAACAAAUGUGUAAGUAACUAUGCACGUCUUGACGGUACCUAAUCAGAAAGCCACGGCUAACUACGUG
rnacentral:rRNA from 1 species